rnacentral:tRNA from 1 species
GAGGGCAUAGCUCUGUGGUAGAGUGCAUGCUUAGCAUGCACGAAGUCCUGGGUUCAAUUCCCAGUUUUAUUU